rnacentral:rRNA from 1 species
GAUGAACGCUAGCGGCAGGCCUAACACACGCAAGUCGAGGGAGAAGCCCUUUCGGGGGCAGAAACCGGCGCACGGGUGCGUAACGCGUAUGCAACCUACCUUUCACAGGGGGAUAGCCCGAAGAAAUUUGGAUUAAUACCCCAUAAUAUUAUUGGAUGGCAUCAUUUGAUAAUUAAAACUGCGGUGGUGAAAGAUGGGCAUGCGUCCUAUUAGCUAGUUGGAGUGGUAACGGCACCCCAAGGCUACGAUAGGUAGGAGUCCUGAGAGGGAGAUCCCCCACACUGGUACUGAGACAGGGACCAGACUCCUACGGGAGGCAGCAGUGAGGAAUAUUGGUCAAUGGUCGGAAGACUGAACCAGCCAUGCCGCGUGCAGGAAGAAUGCCUUAUGGGUUGUAAACUGCUUUUAUAUGGGAAGAAUAAGGCGUACGUGUACGUUGAUGACGGUACCAUAUGAAUAAGCAUCGGCUAACUCCGUG